UUUUAUUUGAGAGUUUGAUCCUGGCUCAGGAUGAACGCUGGCGGCGUGCCUAACACAUGCAAGUUGAGCGAUUUACUUCGGUAAAGAGCGGCGGACGGGUGAGUAACGCGUGGGUAACCUACCCUGUACACACGGAUAACAUACCGAAAGGUAUGCUAAUACGGGAUAAUAUAUUUGAGAGGCAUCUCUUAAAUAUCAAAGGUGAGCUAGUACAGGAUGGACCCGCGUCUGAUUAGCUAGUUGGUAAGGUAACGGCUUACCAAGGCGACGAUCAGUAGCCGACCUGAGAGGGUGAUCGGCCACAUUGGAACUGAGACACGGUCCAAACUCCUACGGGAGGCAGCAGUGGGGAAUAUUGCACAAUGGGCGAAAGCCUGAUGCAGCAACGCCGCGUGAGUGAUGAAGGCCUUCGGGUCGUAAAACUCUGUCCUCAAGGAAGAUAAUGACGGUACUUGAGGAGGAAGCCCCGGCUAACUACGUGCCAGCAGCCGCGGUAAUACGUAGGGGGCUAGCGUUAUCCGGAUUUACUGGGCGUAAAGGGUGCGUAGGCGGUCUUUCAAGUCAGGAGUGAAAGGCUACGGCUCAACCGUAGUAAGCUCUUGAAACUGGGAGACUUGAGUGCAGGAGAGGAGAGUGGAAUUCCUAGUGUAGCGGUGAAAUGCGUAGAUAUUAGGAGGAACAGUAG
rnacentral:rRNA from 1 species